UUCUGAUGAAUUUGGGGCCUCAACCCCUUGGGAAUUUGCUCCACAAUGAACCUCUAACUCAUAUAAGCUCAAAAUGAUGAUCACAUGAUCCAUAUCUCAAAAAAAUACCAUCUACUCUUUGUACCAUGAAUUCAUCUGAUGCCUUGACUUGCUGACUGCUUAAGCUGCAAGUAACAAAGGUAAAUGACAUAUUUUUGUACAUUUUUGGUUAGUUAUUAAAAGAAAAGCAAUGAUAUACAAAUGCAAGCAAUGCUUGGUGAUCAAG
rnacentral:lncRNA from 1 species